CUUGAAAUAGAGAUUUUAGGUAUUGACGUUGUUUAUGAUAUUUAUUACGUGUAGUAGGGUUAUAUCUAUUCGUAUUUGUGUAUUUUCAGCCUCAAAUGUUCAGUCUUUUUGUUUGGUAAUAUGCGUUUGGUGUUGCUCAAUUUUUAUGUUCAUGUUUUUAUUGUGGCAUAAUUGCUUUCAAUUUGAUUAUUUGCUUUGUGUUUAACCCAUUUCGUUUUCCUUUGCUGAAAUAGUUACUUGUUUUAUUGGGAUUAAGAUUAUUACACAAUGUUUACUGCUAUACACCAUUCAUUUUUACCUAGUAUGGUUCUCUAUUUUUCUUACACUUUGUUGUUGUCAAGAAGGUAGAAUUUGAUGCAUCCGUCAUAUACUUGUAAGUGAGAGCUCUCUAUAAAACCGGCAUUUGCGUUGUUCCAAGUUAGAAUUAUUACAGUUGGUCUUCCAUUCGGUUGAUGUGUUAAGACUAAGAAGAUGUUUUGUUUCCUUAGGAGUUUAGUAUUUGUAGAAUUUAAUUUUACUACAUUUGUACUCUAAAAAACAAUAUUCCAACAAAUGAUUAUUUUCAAAUGGUAGCACCAAACCAGUAACACUCCUAGUAAAAAUACAACCAAUAGCAUGAUAUAUAUUAAUUCAUGGCUCUUUUCUUGGCUCAUUAUCAUAUAUAAUAUGACUGAAUCAUAAGUUAUAUAUUAAUUUCUCAUGCAAUCUGUAGGGGCUUUUAUUAUGUUACUGUCAUGUGUGAGUGUGAUUACCGAGGUAAAAUAACCACGUGUAUGUAAAUUCUAGGGGAUGUAUUUAUCAUAGCAUAAGAUAAAAGCUAUCAAAAUAUAAUACCAACGUAGGCUAUUGCAAAAAAUAACUUUAUGUACUUUUUUUAUGAACAGGUGUAUAUAACACAAAAACAAUGUUAAGCUUGUGGAACGUUGUCUCAUUGGCAAUCAUACCAAAUAUUCUUGUUUUAUAUUAAUAACAGUUUACA
rnacentral:lncRNA from 1 species